GACGGACGCUGGCGGCGUGCCUAAUACAUGCAAGUCGAGCGAAGUUUUUCUGGUGCUUGCACUAGAAAAACUUAGCGGCGAACGGGUGAGUAACACGUAAAGAACCUGCCUCAUAGACUGGGACAACUAUUGGAAACGAUAGCUAAUACCGGAUAACAGUAUUUCUCGCAUGAGAGAUAUUUAAAAGUUGGUUAUGCUAACACUAUGAGAUGGCUUUGCGGUGCAUUAGCUAGUUGGUGGGGUAAAGGCCCACCAAGGCGACGAUGCAUAGCCGACCUGAGAGGGUGAUCGGCCACACUGGGACUGAGACACGGCCCAGACUCCUACGGGAGGCAGCAGUAGGGAAGCUUCCGCAAUGGGCGAAAGCCUGACGGAGCAACGCCGCGUGAGUGAAGAAGGAUUUCGGUUCGUAAAGCUCUGUUGUUAGGGAAGAAUGGAUAUGUAGUAACUAUACAUGUAAGAGACGGUACCUAACCAGAAAGCCACGGCUAACUACGUG
rnacentral:rRNA from 1 species